CUGAGUUAUAUAUUGAUCCUGUGUAACUAUAUGAUUAUGGAACUCUCCAGAAGACCCUGCAAUAUGCUCUGAGGAGAUAGAGUCACCAUUCCGAGGAACUCAUACAGAAGUUUAAAAUGGAAAUCAAGGUUGGAAACCUGAAGACAGAAAUAAGCAAGCCUCCUACAAUGACAUUCCUUGAGCUUGUCUACAAAAGCUGCAUGGAUGUGCUGAUCCCCUUAGAAUUUAACUAAUUGUCU
rnacentral:lncRNA from 12 species